CUGGAAUAUAAAACGAACACGCGGUUGUGCAAUAUAGCGUUGAAAUUCACCGGGCGUUUAAGGAGUUUGGACAGAUUUCUGAUCAGAGACGUCACGGGAAGCUCGGUGUCACUGGAAACGUACAAUAUAUCAGUAAAACUGCUGUAAGCGCCAAAAUGCAGACCGUAACAAUGGAUCCUAUCAAGAGGUAUGUGCUGCUCGGUAUUUUAUUGUCUUUGAUCCGUAACAUUUCAACCUCGGUCACUCAUUAUUCGAUACCCGAAGAAAUGAAGGAAGGAUCAGUUGUGGCGAAUCUUGCUGCUGAUCUCAGUUUGGACGUUAAUACACUGAACCAAAGGAAAAUGCGACUGGACAUAAUUGCAAAUAAAAAAUAUCUGGACGUGAACAAAGAGACUGGUGAGCUGUAUAUUAUUGAAAAGAUAGACAGGGAAUAUCUUUGCACUUCAAAGUCGUCGGCAUCUUGCUACCUUAAACUGGAGAUAACGUUAGAAAACCCACUACGAAUUUUUAAUAUCGAAGUAGAGAUUUUGGACAUGAACGACAACGCCCCGCAGUUUCGCAGAGACGCCAUUCAUUUGGACAUAUCUGAGGCGACUCCAAAGGGGGAGAGAUUCUCUCUGAGCAACGCAGUCGAUCCGGAUGUUGGAAGCAACUCGGUGAAAACGUAUCAUCUGAGUGAAAGUGAGCAUUUUAAUAUUGAAAUACAAACUGGGAGAGAUGGGUCGAAAUUUGCGGAGUUAAUAUUAAAAAAAACGUUAGAUCGAGAGCAGCAGGCUGUUCAUAAUUUAAUCCUCACAGCUGUAGACGGAGGAACACCCGCUCGUUCUGGGACCGUAAGCAUAGUUGUCCAUGUUCUAGACACAAAUGACAACGCUCCUGUAUUUGACAAAAAGCUUUAUAAUAUUCAAAUAUUGGAGAAUUCUCCCAUUGGAAGUCUCGUUAUUAACCUGAAUGCAAAGGAUUUAGACGAGGGAUCAAACUCUGACGUUACUUACUCUUAUAGUUUGUACACAUCAGAGAAAACACAGGAAACGUUUAAUCUGAAUCCUUCCACUGGUGAAAUUACAGUUAAAGGGACAUUAAAUUAUGAAGAUUUUAAGAUUUAUGAUAUGGAAGUUAUAGCAACAGACCACGGAGCCAGUAGUUUAUCAGGUCAAUGCACCAUAAAGAUUCUGGUGGAGGACAUGAAUGACAACCACCCAGAAAUAUCAGUCAAAUCUUUCCAGAGUCCAGUGAGUGAAAACAUAGAGUUAGACACAGUGAUAGCAGUAGUGAGUGUCAGUGAUAAAGACUCAGGAGACAAUGGAGUGGUGGACCUUCAUAUUCCACAUAACAUGCCCUUCAGACUGAGGGAGUCCUCUGAUAACUACUAUGAGUUAGUGGUGUCAGAGCCGUUAGACCGCGAGAAGGUUCCAGAGUAUGAGAUCACGUUCACUGUGACAGACAGAGGUUCUCCUCCUUUAUCUGACAAUGACACUAUGACGCUGGAGCUGCUGGAUGUCAAUGACAACGUUCCACAGUUCCCUCAGUCAUUUUACACCAUACGUGUGAUGGAGAACAACGCACCCGGAGCCCUGAUCAGUUCACUCACUGCGUUUGACCCUGACCUCCAUGAAAACCAGUAUCUGGUUUACUUCAUCAUAGAGAAGGAGAUCGCCAACACCUCCAUGUCCAUGCUGUUCUCCAUCAAUCCAGAGAACGGGAACCUUUACGCACUGAAAACCUUUGACUACGAGAUAGAGAAGGACUUUCUGUUCCACAUCGAGGCCAGAGACUCUGGUUCUCCUCCUCUCAGCAGCAACGUGACCGUCCACAUCAUCAUUGUGGACCAGAACGACAACGCUCCAGUCAUUGUGUCUCCGUGGCGCGCGCACGGCUCAGUGGUGGAGGAAAAGAUCCCCAGAUCCACGGAUAAAGGCUCUCUGGUUGCCAAGGUGAUCGCCUUGGACACGGACUCGGUGCACAACUCUCGCAUCACCUACCAGUUCCUGCAGGUGCCUGACGCCACCUUGUUCAGCCUGGACCAGUACAACGGAGAGAUCCGGACCAUGAGGAUGUUCAGCUACAGGGAUCAGCGCCACCACAGACUGGUGGUUGUUGCCAAGGACAACGGGGAGCCUGCUCUCUCCGCUACAGUCACCAUCAAGCUGUCCACCGUGGAGACCGCCGUCAAGGCCUACUCUGACAUGACAGAGGUGCCUCUGGAGUACGACAUCUUCUCAGACCUCAACCUGUACUUGGUGAUCGGUCUGGGCUCCGUGUCCUUCCUGCUGCUCAUCACCAUCCUGGUCACCAUCGUGCUGAAGUGUCAGAAACCCAAAGCCAGCAAAGCGGCUCCUCCCUGCAGGAACAGCGUGGCCAGUGAGAGGAACUCCACCAUCGCUGACUCCACGCUGGUCUCCAACGAUGCCUACUGGUACAGUCUGUUCCUGGCAGAGACCAGGAAGGGGAAGCUGGUGGUCAGACAGCCUGUGCCAAAGGGCUCCAGAUACAUCGUGUCCAGUAUCCCCAGAGGUACCGGGCUGACGGAUACUAGUGACUCAGCAGCUUCCACUCUGCAGUACCCUAAAUGAGGAAAGUCCGCUCUGCAGUUGGAGGUAUGCAGCAGUUUCACUCCCCCCAGGCGUCCACCACCAGCAGUAGCAGUUCCACGUAACUCCAUACACCCCCCCCCCCCCCCCCCCAGCUGCAAACAAGACUGACGUUGACAGGAGAGCUCCACAGAGGAAAGGCGAACCCCCUGCUGAUGACCCCCCAUGUCUACCUUGUCCAGCGUGGCCCCUGUUCAUAACAAUGUGUGGUUUCCAUGCUCUAACACUGAAAUACCUAGUGACUAAAGAUGGACCCCUGCCCCUCUAUAAGCACAGAAAAUGCCAAUCAACAAUGCCUGUAUGUCCAUUUAGUAUGCACGAUAUGAUUGCAUGGCUUCGUCUACGCUCCUUCACAAAAUGUACAAAAGGAAAAAAAAGGAGAACAUUUGAAUCACAGUGGAAGAAGCUGCAAAAAGGACCAAUAAAUGGACGCAGGAAUGUGGAAAUGCCUUCAAGAGACUGUAAUUGGACUCUGUUUAAAAACGACAACCACACCUGUUGAAGAUUACAUUUUUACCCUCUGUGCUUUUAUUAUUUUAUGUACAAAGUAGCAAACAUGUGGAACAGCACAACUAACUACUGUCAGAAAAGCAACAAAGUGUGUGAUUUCAAAGUGUGCAGUGAAUGGGAGUCAGUAUUUUAUAGAUGUGGUAGCUUUUAGUACUCGUUUGCAUUGUGUGCUUAUGUGUGGCCCUGGCUUUAAAAUAUGAGUAACAUGAACAGUGCUAAUGCUAAUGCAUUUACGUAACUGAGCUAAGAUGAAGCCUUCAGCCAUCAUGUACCUGCCUUUCAGUUGUCUUUGCAUGGAAUAACCAGUGCUUGGAUAGCUUUAUAUUAUGAAGCAAUCCACUUUAUAUCCUUCUAGCCUCAUCUUAUGGUACAGUACGAGGUACAACAAUAUACUGGACGUUCACGUGAGGUCAGAAACGUUCACCUCGUGUGUGUGUAGGUGAGCAGCGGUGUGCCAUACUUACUCAUUCACAAAGUUUACUUACAGUACUUAUUUACUUAUUUUAGUUCGCUUGAAUGUUGAGGAAUAUGUGUGUGGAGAAUUGAACUGAACAAAGUGAGUAGAUUCAUUAUUGGCACCUUUUUCAAUUACUGUACAUACACCACAAACAUCACCAUCAAGUACUUUAACUUUUAUUUUAUUUCCAAAUCCAAACAAUGUCGGCUGAGAUUGAUGGAGCUGAAAAGUAAGUGUUUAUAUCAAAAUGACAUGUACAUGUGUCUCACUAACCAUAUGUUUAUAUGCAACACCUACAGUAAAUGCAUACAGGUUUGACUGACACAUCAGUAUGAACUAUGUCUGGUUCCAUAUGUAUAUGCCUUUCUGUUUCAGUCCCAAUGCGGAACUUUGUAUUAUGAACACAACCUGUGGGAUUCUGUGCCAUUGCAUUCAUUGGUGAACGGUGAAAUUACGGACCGUCAUGUAGUCAAACUAUUAAGCACAGGUCUCUUUGCAUUACUGGUAAAGGUUGUUUAAGCCAUUACAGGCAAGCAUAUACAGCAAGUGCUUUUGUACAGUGAUACAUUUAUGGUGCAAUAUGUUGUUAUGUGUACUGUGAGCUGCUGAUCUGUGUGAUCUAUUAAAUGCAAAAAACAAA